CACACCUUAAGGUAAAUUAUCUCUCCAUUUUACGGUUCAGGAUACCGAGUCUCAGCGAUUUUAAGUGAUUUGUCCAAAAUCAUACAGCUAGUUAAGUGGUGGAGUCAAGAUUUAAACCCACGGCUGUCUGACACAAAGGCUUUAUCCGGUGAGGUAGCUCUCUUUGUCAGUUUCAGGCUUGGGCUGAGUACCUAUUACGAGUCACAUUAGAAGAGGAGGACAUAAAUUUUUGCAGGGUUUCAAGAGUUCCUUCUAAGUGUAAUCACUGAAUGUAAUACAGAAUAGUUGACGAACACAAAUCACCGAUUGGGUGAAACAGGCACCUAUGAGAUUUCUUCUUUUUAUUUUCUCGGGGGAGCAUAGCAUUGCCAGAUAACAUACAGGAUGCCCAGUGAAAUUUGAGUUUCAGAUAAACGAUGAAUAAUUUUUUUUUGAGACGGUCUCGCUCUGUCUCCCGGACUGGAGUGCAGUGGCCCAGUCUGGCUCACUGCAGCCUCCGCCUCCCUGGUUCAAGUGAUUCCCAGUGAUUGAACUAAUUUACACUUGCACCAACGAUAGAACAGUGUUCUCUUUUCUCGCAACCUUGCCAG
rnacentral:lncRNA from 1 species